AUGCGGCGGCCAGCCCUCCGAUGCAGCAUGGAGCUGGCGGCCGCCUCCAUCUCAGAACCUUCUGGGCCUUCUCCUCAGAGGUGUCCUCCUCAAGUGCUGCCACCGUGGGGCUGCCCACAUGGAGAUGCCAUGGCCUCCUCCUGGCCCAGCGUGGUAGCCUCCGUGAGGCACAUCUCUUGCAUGAAGGCGCUCCAUGAAGGAAGGGGCUCCGUUUCUCUGGAGGUUUCUCAAGUAGCAAGGCGUUUUCCUGCAGUUUCGUGGCUAUAUGUUGUGAGAGAUUUGUUUCACCAGGAAUUCAGCUCCUUCAAGUGCUGGAGUUGCAAUGAGAUUCUGCUGGGAGAGCCUGACAGGACAUUCAGAACUGGGAAGUGCAAAGGGCAGAGACCUUUCUGGACUGUGGCUGCAGAUCAUUUAGCACAUGUGGACCUUGGUCUUGUUUAGGAGCUGGGAGUUCCUUUGAGCACUAAAACUAAGAAUUAUUGUUAAUUUUAUUGACUUAAGACACAAGCCUUUAACAUUUUCUCUGUUCCUCCAUUCAAACUUAAUUAUUUAAAUGCCUAACUUGUUUAUAGCUUACAAAACCAUUGUUUUGGGAACAUUUUACUGAAUAAUAGGGCAAAAUAGAGAAGAAGUUCAUUUAAAAAUGGAAAGAUUUGGACUGCAUCCAGCUUCUGAGCUUUGCUUGCUUGCUUAGAGAGAGGAACAGCAAUAAUAUGCUUCAG
rnacentral:lncRNA from 1 species